rnacentral:lncRNA from 10 species
CCCAGCUACUCGGGAGGCUGAGGCAGAAGAAUCACUUGAGCCCAGGAGGCAGAGGUUGCAGUGAGCCAGGAUAGUGCCACUGCACUCCAGCCUGGGCGACAGAGCAAGACUCUAUCUCAAAACAAAAACAAAAACAAAAAACAUGUAACAUAGCUCCACUGUACAGCGUUUGCUUACAGAGGUUGCUUCUGCAAUGAAGAGAAUUAGGCAUCUGACUUGAGGUAUGAUUACAGACUGCAGUGAAAGCUGGAAGUUGAAAAGUGGAAGAGUUAUGUGCUGAGUAUAAAUUCUGGUGCACCAAAGGUUCUAUUACUUUCUAUCUCAAAAUCAAAUUUCAAUUGCUCUGGGCUCCUACCCAAUGACUAGCAGAAAGUUCAAUCCUCAUAGAUUCCUGAGUCUGUCACUCACUCCUCCUCCACUUGGUCAGAAAGUCCCUGGGCUCCUGUGGCCUUAGAAAAGUGGCCCAGCUGUCUAUGGCCAUGUCACCCUGAACAUUCUCCGUCUGUCUGAUCUUGGAAGCUAGGCAGGGUCGGGCCUGGUUAGUACUUGGAUGGGAGAAAAGUGGGGCAGGGGCUGAGCUAAGGCCUUCGUCCAUGAUCCCAGCAUCUCUCAAGUUGAUCCUUGGGUUCCAGGAUGCUACGGAUAAGCUCUGGUCCCUGCCAAGACAUGGUCUCUGUAUGUCAGGCUUUGCUGCUCUGGGGGUGACAAUGAUAGCCCCAUAGAGGUUCUCUUCAUUGACUGAAAGGACCUCAUGCACAGGGUGUGCUCAUACAUGCUUGAGGGGCAGUCAAUUCCCCUCUGGUCAGUUUCUGCCUCCCACACUCCUUCUAACUGCUCCCAUUUGGUUAUUUCCACAGAACUGCCCCACCUGCCCCUGCAAUGAGUCUUCACACAUACCAUACUGGCCUCUCCUUCUCAGGGAUGGGAGCGAGUGGAGAAUGGCGAGUAUAACUUAGUAAGCCAUUGGCUUAAAAAAUGUUUUAAGUGGGGAGCGCCUCUGCCCCGCCGCCCCAUCUGGGAUGUGAGGAGCGCCUCUGCCCGGCCGAGACCCCGUCUGGGAGGUGAGGAGCGUCUCUGCCC